CCUACGGGAGGCAGCAGUGGGUAAUAUUGCACAAUGGGGGAAACCCUGAUGCAGCGACGCCGCGUGAGUGAAGAAGUAAUUCGUUAUGUAAAGCUCUAUCAGCAGGGAAGAAAAUGACGGUACCUGAGUAAGAAGCCCCGGCUAACUACGUGCCAGCAGCCGCGGUAAUAUGUAGGGGGCAAGCGUUAUCCGGAUUUACUGGGUGUAAAGGGAGCGUAGACGGCAGUGCAAGUCUGGAGUGAAAGGCGGGGGCUCAACCCCCGGACUGCUCUGGAAACUGUACGGCUGGAGUGCAGGAGGGGUAAGUGGAAGUCCUAGUGUAGCGGUGAAAUGCGUAGAUAUUAGGAGGAACACCAGUGGCGAAGGCGGCUGACUGGACUGUAACUGACGUUGAGGCUCGAAAGCGUGGGGAGCAAACAGGAUUAGAUACCCGUGUAGUC
rnacentral:rRNA from 1 species